rnacentral:rRNA from 1 species
UACGGAGGGUGCAAGCGUUAAUCGGAAUUACUGGGCGUAAAGCGUGCGUAGGCGGUUCGUUAAGUCUGUUGUGAAAGCCCCGGGCUCAACCUGGGAAUGGCAAUGGAUACUGGCGAGCUAGAGUGUGUCAGAGGAUGGUGGAAUUCCCGGUGUAGCGGUGAAAUGCGUAGAGAUCGGGAGGAACAUCAGUGGCGAAGGCGGCCAUCUGGGGACAACACUGACGCUGAGGCACGAAAGCGUGGGUAGCAAACAGG